GAUCUUGACUCACUGCAACCUCUGAUUCCCGGGUUCAAGCGAUUCUCCUGUCUCAGCCUCCCGAGUAGCUGGGAUUACAGGCGCCCACCACCAUGCCUGUCUAAUUUUUGUACUUUUAGUAUAGACAGAGUUUCACCAUGUUGGCCAGGCUGGCCUCGAUCUCCUCACCUCAGGUCAUCCACUGCCUUGGACUCCCAAAGUGCUGGGAUUACAGCUGAUGGUUUUAUAAAGGGGAGUUUCCCUACACAAGCUCUUUUGCCUGCUGCCAUGUAAGAGAUGUGACUUUGUUCCUCACCUGCCUUCUGCCAUGAGUGUGAGGCCUCUCCGACCAUGUGCAACUGUGAGUCAAUUAAACCUCUUUUUUUAUAAAUUACCCAGCCUCAGAUAUGUCUUUAUUAGCAGCGUGAGAACAGACUAAUACAACCUGUAUGCCAGAAAGGCUGGGAGCACCUGUGGACUCUGACAGGCUGUACAGAAAGCAUAGCACUGGCUUCUGCUUCUGGUGAAGCCUCUGACAACUGACAAUCAAGGUGAAAAAUAAAUCCGGUGCUUGCACAUCACAUGCCGCAAUACUGACAUGACAGCAGGGCGCUUGGUACACAGCUUCCACUGACCUGGAUUUGGAUUGGUUUGGCCUCUAUAAUGAAGUUUGAUGUCUCUGCUUUACUGACAAGGUCUCAGAGCCACUCGACC
rnacentral:lncRNA from 1 species